rnacentral:rRNA from 1 species
CCGGCCCCGCUUUCCUAUACAUGUCAAGUCGAGCGCAGGAAGUUAUCUGAUCCUCUUUUAGAGGUGACGAUAAUGGAAUGAGCGGCGGACGGGUGAGUAACACGUAGGCAACCUGCCUGUAAGACUGGGAUAACUCGUGGAAACGCGAGCUAAUACCGGAUAACACUUUUCAUCUCCUGAUGAGAAGUUGAAAGGCGGCUUUUGCUGUCACUUACAGAUGGGCCUGCGGCGCAUUAGCUAGUUGGUAAGGUAAUGGCUUACCAAGGCGACGAUGCGUAGCCGACCUGAGAGGGUGAUCGGCCACACUGGGACUGAGACACGGCCCAGACUCCUACGGGAGGCAGCAGUAGGGAAUCUUCCGCAAUGGACGAAAGUCUGACGGAGCAACGCCGCGUGAGUGAUGAAGGUUUUCGGAUCGUAAAACUCUGUUGUUAGGGAAGAACAAGUGCCAUAGUAACUGAUGGCACCUUGACGGUACCUAACCAGAAAGCCACGGCUAACUACGUGCCAGCAGCCGCGGUAAUACGUAGGUGGCAAGCGUUGUCCGGAAUUAUUGGGCGUAAAGCGCUCGCAGGCGGUUCUUUAAGUCUGAUGUGAAAUCUUACGGCUCAACCGUAAACGUGCAUUGGAAACUGGGGAACUUGAGUGCAGAAGAGGAGAGUGGAAUUCCACGUGUAGCGGUGAAAUGCGUAGAGAUGUGGAGGAACACCAGUGGCGAAGGCGACUCUCUGGUCUGUAACUGACGCUGAGGAGCGAAAGCGUGGGGAGCGAACAGGAUUAGAUACCCUGGUAGUCCACGCCGUAAACGAUGAGUGCUAGGUGUUAGGGGGUUUCCGCCCCUUAGUGCUGAAGUUAACGCAUUAAGCACUCCGCCUGGGGAGUACGGCCGCAAGGCUGAACUCAAAAGAAUUGACGGGGGCCCGCACAAGCGGUGGAGCAUGUGGUUUAAUUCGAAGCAACGCGAAGAACCUUACCAGGUCUUGACAUCCUCUGAACACUCUAGAGAUAGAGUUUUCCCUUCGGGGACAGAGUGACAGGUGGUGCAUGGUUGUCGUCAGCUCGUGUCGUGAGAUGUUGGGUUAAGUCCUCGCAACGG